rnacentral:rRNA from 1 species
AUGAAUCUGCGAACGGCUCAUUAUGAACACCCGUAAUCUACCCAUUUUUCGUAUCCAAAACGGAUAUCUGCGUUAAUUUUGGAGCUAAUACGUGCACCUAUGCACCGCCAGCAAUGGUAGUGCGCACUUAUUAGAACAAGGCCGAUUGGGGCAACCCUUUUGGUGACUCUGAAUAAUUUAGCGGAUCGCAUGGUCUUGUACCGGCGACGUAAUGGUCGAGCGGGUGCCCUAUCAACUAUUGAUGGAAGUCUAUGUGUCUUCCAUGGUUGUAACGGGUAACGGAGAAUCAGGGUUCGACUCCGGAGAGCUAGCCUUAGAAACGGCUAUCACAUCCAAGGAAGGCAGCAGGCGCGUAAAUUACCCACUCUCAAUUCGAGGAGGUAGUGACUGUCAAUAACGAGACAGAUCUCUUUGAGGUCUGUCAUUGAAAUGAGCACAAUUUAAAGACUUUAACGAAGUCUAUGGGAGGGCAAGUCUGGUGCCAGCAGCCGCGGUAAUUCCAGCUCCCAACGUGUAUAUCGUCAUUGCUGCGGUUAAAAAGCUCGUAGUUGGAUCUAAGUUUAUGACGGUAGUCCUCCAUGUGAGGUACUGCUCGUCUGAACUGUUUCGCCGGUUUUCCAUUGCUUCGGCUUUGGUGGCUGGUGUUGUAACUUUGAUUAAAUCAAUGUGAUUAAAACAGGCGUUUGCUUGAAUGCUUUAUCAUGGAAUAAUAGAAUAUGACUUCGGUCCAUUCUGUUGGUCUUGGGNAUUGAAGUAAUGAUUAAAAGGAACAACUCGGGGGCAUCUGUAUCGCUGCGUGAGAGGUGAAAUUCUUGGACCGCAGCGAGAC